rnacentral:rRNA from 1 species
AGCAGCCGCGGUAAUUCCAGCUCCAAUAGCGUAUAUUAAAGUUGUUGCAGUUAAAAAGCUCGUAGUUGAAUUUCGGGGUCAGUAGUUUGGUCGUGCCAACGGUAUGUACUGGGCUCACUGAUUCCUCCUUCCUGAUGAACUGUAAUGCCAUUAAUUUGGUGUUGCAGGGAAACUGGACUGUUACUUUGAAAAAAUUAGAGUGUUUAAAGCAAGCUAACGCUUGAAUACAUUAGCAUGGAAUAAUGAAAUAGGACGUUCGAUCCUAUUUUGUUGGUUUCUAGGAUUGACGUAAUGAUUAAUAGGGGUAGUUGGGGGCAUUAGUAUUCAAUUGUCAGAGGUGAAAUUCUUGGAUUUAUUGAAGACUAACUACUGCGAAAGCAUUUGCCAAGGAUGUUUUCAUUAAUCAAGAACGAAAGUUAGGGGAUCGAAGACGAUCAGAUACCGUCGUAGUCUUAACCAUAAACUAUGCCGACUAGGGAUCGGAUGAUGUAAUUUUUAAUGACUCAUUCGGCGCCUUACG